CGGCGGACGGGUGAGUAACACGUGAGUAACCUGCCUUAGACAUUGGGAUAGCCUCGGAAACCGGGAUUAAUACCAAAUGAAAUCACAUAUGCACAUGCAUAAAUGAUCAAAGCUCCGGCGGUCUAAGAUGGACUCGCGUCCCAUUAGCUAGUUGGUGAGGUAACGGCCCACCAAGGCGACGAUGGGUAGCCGGCCUGAGAGGGUGAACGGCCACAUUGGAACUGAGAAACGGUCCAAACUCCUACGGGAGGCAGCAGAU
rnacentral:rRNA from 1 species